GAGUGGCGGAACGGGUUGAGUAAUGUCUGGGAAACUGCCUGAUGGAGGGGGAUAACUACUGGAAACGGUAGCUAAUACCGCAUAACGUCGCAAGACCAAAGAGGGGGACCUUCGGGCCUCUUGCCAUCAGAUGUGCCCAGAUGGGAUUAGCUAGUAGGUGGGGUAACGGCUCACCUAGGCGACGAUCCCUAGCUGGUCUGAGAGGAUGACCAGCCACACUGGAACUGAGACACGGUCCAGACUCCUACGGGAGGCAGCAGUGGGGAAUAUUGCACAAUGGGCGCAAGCCUGAUGCAGCCAUGCCGCGUGUGUGAAGAAGGCCUUCGGGUUGUAAAGCACUUUCAGCGGGGAGGAAGGGAGUAAGGUUAAUAACCUUGUUCAUUGACGUUACCCGCAGAAGAAGCACCGGCUAACUCCGUGCCAGCAGCCGCGGUAAUACGGAGGGUGCAAGCGUUAAUCGGAAUUACUGGGCGUAAAGCGCACGCAGGCGGUCUGUCAAGUCGGAUGUGAAAUCCCCGGGCUCAACCUGGGAACUGCAUCCGAAACUGGCAGGCUUGAGUCUCGUAGAGGGAGGUAGAAUUCCAGGUGUAGCGGUGAAAUGCGUA
rnacentral:rRNA from 1 species